GGUUAAGCGACUAAGCGUACACGGUGGAUGCCCUGGCAGUCAGAGGCGAUGAAGGGCGUGCUAAUCUGCGAUAAGCGCCGGUAAGGUGAUAUGAACCGUUAUAACCGGCGAUACCCGAAUGGGGAAACCCAGUGUGACUCGUCACACUAUCAUUAACUGAAUCCAUAGGUUAAUGAGGCGAACCGGGGGAACUGAAACAUCUAAGUACCCCGAGGAAAAGAAAUCAACCGAGAUUCCCCCAGUAGCGGCGAGCGAACGGGGAGGAGCCCAGAGCCUGAAUCAGCAUGUGUGUUAGUGGAAGCGUCUGGAAAGGCGCGCGAUACAGGGUGACAGCCCCGUACACAAAAGCGCAUGUGCUGUGAGCUCGAUGAGUAGGGCGGGACACGUGGUAUCCUGUCUGAAUAUGGGGGGACCAUCCUCCAAGGCUAAAUACUCCUGACUGACCGAUAGUGAACCAGUACCGUGAGGGAAAGGCGAAAAGAACCCCGGCGAGGGGAGUGAAAAAGAACCUGAAACCGUGUACGUACAAGCAGUGGGAGCACAGGUUUACCUGUGUGACUGCGUACCUUUUGUAUAAUGGGUCAGCGACUUAUAUUCUGUAGCAAGGUUAACCGAAUAGGGGAGCCGGAGGGAAACCGAGUCUUAAUUGGGCGUUAAGUUGCAGGGUAUAGACCCGAAACCCGGUGAUCUAGCCAUGGGCAGGUUGAAGGUUGGGUAACACUAACUGGAGGACCGAACCGACUAAUGUUGAAAAAUUAGCGGAUGACCUGUGGCUGGGGGUGAAAGGCCAAUCAAACCGGGAGAUAGCUGGUUCUCCCCGAAAGCUAUUUAGGUAGCGCCUCGUGAAUUCAUCUCUCCGGGGUAGAGCACUGUUUCGGCUAGGGGGCCAUCCCGGCUUACCAACCCGAUGCAAACUGCGAAUACCGGAGAAUGUUAUCACGGGAGACACACGGCGGGUGCUAACGUCCGUCGUGAAGAGGGAAACAACCCAGACCGCCAGCUAAGGUCCCAAAGUCAUGGUUAAGUGGGAAACGAUGUGGGAAGGCCCAGACAGCCAGGAUGUUGGCUUAGAAGCAGCCAUCAUUUAAAGAAAGCGUAAUAGCUCACUGGUCGAGUCGGCCUGCGCGGAAGAUGUAACGGGGCUAAACCAUGCACCGAAGCUGCGGCAGCGACGCUUAUGCGUUGUUGGGUAGGGGAGCGUUCUGUAAGCCUGCGAAGGUGGCCUGUGAGGGUUGCUGGAGGUAUCAGAAGUGCGAAUGCUGACAUAAGUAACGAUAAAGCGGGUGAAAAGCCCGCUCGCCGGAAGACCAAGGGUUCCUGUCCAACGUUAAUCGGGGCAGGGUGAGUCGACCCCUAAGGCGAGGCCGAAAGGCGUAGUCGAUGGGAAACGGGUUAAUAUUCCCGUACUUGGUGUUACUGCGAAGGGGGGACGGAGAAGGCUAUGUUGGCCGGGCGACGGUUGUCCCGGUUUAAGCGUGUAGGUGUGUGUUCCAGGUAAAUCCGGUUCACUUUAACACUGAGGCGUGAUGACGAGGCACUACGGUGCUGAAGUAACAAAUGCCCUGCUUCCAGGAAAAGCCUCUAAGCAUCAGGUAACAUCAAAUCGUACCCCAAACCGACACAGGUGGUCAGGUAGAGAAUACCAAGGCGCUUGAGAGAACUCGGGUGAAGGAACUAGGCAAAAUGGUGCCGUAACUUCGGGAGAAGGCACGCUGACACGUAGGUGAAGUGAUUUACUCACGGAGCUGAAGUCAGUCGAAGAUACCAGCUGGCUGCAACUGUUUAUUAAAAACACAGCACUGUGCAAACACGAAAGUGGACGUAUACGGUGUGACGCCUGCCCGGUGCCGGAAGGUUAAUUGAUGGGGUCAGCGCAAGCGAAGCUCCUGAUCGAAGCCCCGGUAAACGGCGGCCGUAACUAUAACGGUCCUAAGGUAGCGAAAUUCCUUGUCGGGUAAGUUCCGACCUGCACGAAUGGCGUAAUGAUGGCCAGGCUGUCUCCACCCGAGACUCAGUGAAAUUGAACUCGCUGUGAAGAUGCAGUGUACCCGCGGCAAGACGGAAAGACCCCGUGAACCUUUACUAUAGCUUGACACUGAACAUUGAGCCUUGAUGUGUAGGAUAGGUGGGAGGCUUUGAAGUGUGGACGCCAGUCUGCAUGGAGCCGACCUUGAAAUACCACCCUUUAAUGUUUGAUGUUCUAACGUGGACCCGUUACCCGGGUUGCGGACAGUGUCUGGUGGGUAGUUUGACUGGGGCGGUCUCCUCCUAAAGAGUAACGGAGGAGCACGAAGGUUGGCUAAUCCUGGUCGGACAUCAGGAGGUUAGUGCAAUGGCAUAAGCCAGCUUGACUGCGAGCGUGACGGCGCGAGCAGGUGCGAAAGCAGGUCAUAGUGAUCCGGUGGUUCUGAAUGGAAGGGCCAUCGCUCAACGGAUAAAAGGUACUCCGGGGAUAACAGGCUGAUACCGCCCAAGAGUUCAUAUCGACGGCGGUGUUUGGCACCUCGAUGUCGGCUCAUCACAUCCUGGGGCUGAAGUAGGUCCCAAGGGUAUGGCUGUUCGCCAUUUAAAGUGGUACGCGAGCUGGGUUUAGAACGUCGUGAGACAGUUCGGUCCCUAUCUGCCGUGGGCGCUGGAGAACUGAGGGGGCUGCUCCUAGUACGAGAGGACCGGAGUGGACGCAUCACUGGUGUUCGGGUUGUCAUGCCAAUGGCACUGCCCGGUAGCUAAAUGCGGAAGAGAUAAGUGCUGAAAGCAUCUAAGCACGAAACUUGCCCCGAGAUGAGUUCUCCCUGAGACUUAAAGUCUCCUGAAGGAACGUUGAAGACGACGACGUUGAUAGGCCGGGUGUGUAAGCGCAGCGAUGCGUUGAGCUAACCGGUACUAAUGAACCGUGAGGCUUAACCCU
rnacentral:rRNA from 1 species